ACACCAACAAAUGUCCCUUCUGUUCUAUUCCCAGGUUGUUUUUGGAGACAUGGAAUACCAUCAGGCUGGGACAGACUGCACAGACCACUGCUUGCACGCCCUUGGAGCCUGACUGUGAGAGGAAGAAAACAAAGCUGGUAAACGAGCAUUUCACUCCGAGGAGAAACACGGCUGUGAAGGGCAGAUUUGACUCUGGGUUUCGGCAGGCUGUUCUCCAGCCAUCUUCCAUUCAUGCUCCAGACAUCACUGGGAACAAGAGCUAAACAGUUCCUGGGCUGUUUCAUAACGGAGAAAUGAGCCUCUGUGAGAGCUCUGGUCUCUGUCUUCCAACUGCUUCCUCCAGGACUGCAGUCCUCACCCAGGCUCAUGGGCUCAAAAUGUGUUAGGAUCUGAAAGAUAUUGGAUCCAGUACUGCAGCUGCCAUCCCAACAAACAUGUAAAUAAAACAAGAAUUCUGUGAAUGGGAAUCCGAAGCGGCUGUGGUGAGGAUUAGCAAAGGAUGAAUCUGUCAUUGUUCUCCUAAUUGAUAAAAGACGGACCACUGUUAUUUUGAAUAAAGCUGUUACCACACAAGCCUCAAGCAACUCAACAGAAGAUCCUGCGUAAUGGAGAACGUCUUCUGGAUGUUGACCGUGUCCCUAUGAAGUUACUAUACUCUGAGUACACAAGAGAUAGGAGCAGAGUGAGGCUCCCUCUUUUUAAGCUUAACUGUCCCUCCCCCAACCCAGAGGACCUGGAGCCAAAGCAAAGCAUCCCUGUGCGAUCUCCUCUUGUGGCAGCUUUCCAUCCAGCGUUUCUUCAGCACCUGAACUUGAUGUCAAGCACACGGAUGUUUAUAGCAGCAGUCAAGUCAGUUGUGUUAGAUUACAAAGAGCUCAGGAUAGCUUUACAAGGUGUACUUAGAAAGGUAGGUCUGUAUUUACUCUGAACAUCAGCACUUCUGUUGAAUAUCGCUGCACAUUUAGAUCGUAUUCAAAACAUAACAUAUAAAAAGGAGAAGCACACACAAUGCGUCAGCAUCAUCCUAAUGCAGAGGUCAUUUUUUAGAGGACAAAAAGGAGGUGCCUGGCAACUCAAAAGAGUCAUCUGUUAAUUCCAAGGGGGUGUAAAGAUGGGAUUCAGAAGCAGCUGAUCUCUGCAAAGCCUCUGAGCACAUCUUUGCACAGACCUUACUAACCUGGCCUUCUUGGAGUUCCUAAGUCCAACCAAUUGCUGAGCCCCACAGCCUCUCACAGAUCAUGUGUGCUACACAUCCCAAAUGGGGCCGGUGCCCUAUGAGCUUUGGCCAAAUUCCACUGUGCCAGCAUUUGGAGAUGAUGUGUAAGGUGAGGACCAGCCUUUGAAGUUGAAAGGAUGACAAGUUGGUUUAGAUGUGGUACCUUCUGUCUGGUUGAGGAGAAGGAGAAAUCACCUCGGAUAAGGAAGGAUGAGAGCCACCAAAGAGCCUGGGAGGUUGUACUCCUAUGCAUGAAUACUGUACACAGUUUGACAGCACUCAAAGUAUGUUCUCAUGAAGCAGCAUGUCUUGCCUCCUUCCCAGCUCCAUCAUGGAAAUAUUCAUGUCUUCCCAGGGCUGCCAAAUUUGCUUUUAAUACCAGUGUAUAGACUCAAAACCAUACUACAUCCAGUUGAAGCUGUCUUUUGGGUACAGGCUCUGAGGAAGUUUUAGGCCAACGUGUACCAGAUGACAAAUGGCCAUCUUUGAACAUGAGCUGCUCUCCUUUCCUUCCUCUCCAAAAGCACAUGUAUAAACAAACCAGCCCAAGGAAGAGGCUCUGAUUUUCCUUGCAUUCUUCCAGCUUGAAUCUCCUGUCUUUUCCCCCAUGUCAGUCAGGGGGAAAAAAAAGAAGAGCUCAGUUUGUUGUUGUUUGGCAGCUGCUCCCAAUCCUGCAUGAGAAGCGAGGAGGGCUGUGCUGGAGAAAUCUGAUUCCAGUGCCAUGAGGACCUGCAGGGAAACAAGAACUUCUGGAUAUGUCCAGAGGAGCCAAAUGGUUGCAGCAGUGCCUUACAAGUCCAAGGGGAGCAUUUGGUAUGCUUUUAAACCGUCAGCAUGAGUAGUUGGGUGGAAUUAAGAGAAGGAAGCUCUCAGCCUUGCAAUUGGGGAAUAUUUGUUAGGAGUGGAAUUCACACUUCCUCAGAGCUCCCUAGGGUAAGAACAAGAGCGGUGUGAACUUUAGAAACUUAAACUAGACAAGACAAAGCCCCGGUGGGUGAAACAGUCAGUGAUCCUGCUGAGGGGCAGAGUGAACUGCUGGCCUCUCAUCAUGUGUCUCUUCCAUCCCUCACUUCUGUGAUGCUAUAAAAAAGCCUGACCCAAUCCCGGGAUUACACAAAGAAUGCACUGCAACAAAGAGAAGCCCAUGGCCUUUCUGCUCACCCUUUAGUGGUAUUUAGGACCAGAAGAGAGGUUGGUCUGAAUAGUCAGAAUGACAUUCCUGGCCAUGUUUAGCAAAUGCUAUCUGGGUUGAGUGGAAAAAUAUGUGCCCUCGUGUUAGAAUAUUUUCUCCACGUUCUCUUUUAUUCCAGGUGUUAAAUGGAAGAAGUGUCAGCUAUUGAAGCCAUUCUUGUGUGUCUGAGAAGAUAUUUCUUUCUGCCCCUGUGUGAGAAUGGGCCAGUCCCAAGUGCCGCUCUGCAAUUAGGAUAUUAAUAGCCCCAUUACGCUGUGCUAUCUAGUUUGCUUUAAAAUUCACGGUGCAGUUAGAUGAUAUUUGUUCAUAACAGGAAAA